CUAACUACGUGCCAGCAGCCGCGGUAAUACGUAGGGUGCAAGCGUUAAUCGGAAUUACUGGGCGUAAAGCGUGCGCAGGCGGUCCGCUAAGACAGAUGUGAAAUCCCCGGGCUUAACCUGGGAACUGCAUUUGUGACUGGCGGGCUAGAGUAUGGCAGAGGGGGGUAGAAUUCCACGUGUAGCAGUGAAAUGCGUAGAGAUGUGGAGGAAUACCGAUGGCGAAGGCAGCCCCCUGGGCCAAUACUGACGCUCAUGCACGAAAGCGUGGGGAGCAAACAGGAUUAGAUACCCUGGUAGUCCACGCCCUAAACGAUGUCAACUAGUUGUUGGGUCUUCAUUGACUUAGUAACGUAGCUAACGCGUGAAGUUGACCGCCUGGGGAGUACGGUCGCAAGAUUAAAACUCAAAGGAAUUGACGGGGACCCGCACAAGCGGUGGA
rnacentral:rRNA from 1 species